CGGCGAUCGCAGGGCAGAAGAGGCCAAAGUCAAAGCCAAAGAGGACAAACCAACACCACUACACGGGAAUAUUCCGGCAUCGUCACAAGAUCACAGAUGAAUUAGUCGCACCACCCUUCACUACGUUGGGUCAUCCAUAGAUGGGGUUGGAAUACAUUAC